UUUUUUUUGUAAUAUUGGAGUAUUAAUCAAGAGAAGCUAACAAAUUUAACUUAAACAAUCCAACAAAUUAGCAUCCCUACUCUAAAUAAAGAUACCAGUUUUAGAGGACACAAUCCUAAAUGUCAGAAUGUUAUAUGUACUUAACAAGAUAUCCUAGACAAGCACCAACAAAUACUAAAAGAACCUACAUUAUCCUAAACAAAGUCACAUAAAACAGAUAAUUGCUCAGUGGCAAACGACUUGAGAUCAAUCUUUGGUUGUUUUGUUGAUCAGAGAU
rnacentral:misc_RNA from 1 species